AAAAAAAAAAAAAAAAAAAAAAAAAAAAAAAAAA
rnacentral:ncRNA from 6 species